GGCGAUGGAGGGCCGGAAAUUCACUUUCCGUUUUGGCUCAAACAAAAUAACACUGCUCCUGCAGAUGAUUGUGCCUACCUGCCUGAAUUCCAACUUUUUUGCGGUCCCGGAAGAGGUCAAUAUCAAUCACACAAGGACUCGACCUUAGUGAAGUUUCAACACAUAGUGAACACAUCAAUCAAGGGACUCGAUCUCGCUUUUAAGUACGAGGCAAUUGUUAGUUACAUCGAUUAUACAAACCGAGCUUUGCUUAUGCAUAUCCCACUUCUUGUAGAUAUAGUGCCCAUUUUCUCAUCUAUUUCCUCCCAUCUUCCUUUCAAACCAAAUACUUUUAAUGAUAUAUCUGUUUGUUACCAGACUUUGGAUACUAGAAAUACUAUUUAUGAGCUCUUCAACCUUGACCCCUUUAGAUCAUGUUAUUAUGGUUAUAGCAGGGUCGACCACUAUUACACUUUUUUCAAUUGUUCCUCUUCAUCUCCGGUCAUUGAGCAUAAUGGAAAUAUCAUCAUCAAUUCUCUCAGCACCAAAGAUUUCAAGGUUUAUGCUUAUUCUUCAUCUUAUCCCGCAAUCUAUAUGCUGGACCGUAUAAGAUCUUGCACUAAGAUGUACGAUAUUUCAACUAGGCUCAAGCAAUCUUCACAGUCCUGUGCCUGCGGGUCCCAAUUUUACUCGGAGAAUAUAUUGAGUUGGUCCCAGAAUGUAGGUGGUGGAAAAUGUGAAGCUGCACGAGAGAGUUGUAAUAUAUAUGAUGAUGACAGUAAUAGUUACACAGAUUUUCCAUACUCUCAACCAUCCACCAGAGGUUCAGGUACUAUUCUAAUUCUUUAUGUUUCCGUUGAUUCUUACUUGGUGUCUUCACGUUUAGUUGAUCAAUCAUAUCUCUUAUUCUAAUUCUUUGUGUUUCCAUAUAUUCUAAUUCUAAUUCAAACUUGCACAUUUUGCAGGUCGUGCAAUUGCCAAACUACUUGUAGCUGGUGAGUGUUGAUCAUUAAAUAUAAUAAAUACUGCUUUGUUUUUUUAAGUGUUUUGGGUUUCUGAGUGAUUCAUGUGCUUGUGCAUUCCAAUUUGACUUGAUCUCUUCCCAAAUGUGUAUGCAGUUUUAUUGCCAUGUAUCUUCUUGGUUGUUCUUGGCCUUAUUUUCCGGUAUAACUUUGUCCGAUUAAAUAAACAAAGGGAGGAAGAUGAGUUGAAGAUUAAAAUGUUUAUGGAGAACUAUAAAGCGCUCAAGCCAACAAGAUACUCCUACAGUGACAUCAAAAAGAUCACAAAUACGUUCAAGCAUAAAUUAGGCCAAGGAGGUUAUGGAUCUGUAUUCAAGGGACAGAUUUCAGCUGAUAUUCCAGUCGCGGUGAAGGUUCUUCAUAUUGAUUCCAAAGCAAAUGGUGAUGACUUCAUCAACGAGGUUGGUACUAUAGGUAAAAUCCACCAUGUCAAUGUGGUUCGACUGCUCGGGUAUUGUGCUGAUGGAUGUAAUCGAGCUCUAGUUUAUGAGUUUCAACCUAAUCAUUCACUAGAAAAGUUCGUUUAUAGAAGAGAGAAACCACAGAAUUUCAUUGGUUGGAAGAAAAUGCAAAAAAUUGCUCGAGGUAUAGCCAAGGGGAUGGAAUAUCUGUAGAAAAUAUGCAGAAUCAUGUUGUUGGUAUAGAAUAGCUUUUUCAUAUAUCAAUCUAUUGAAGGGAGGCUCCUAUUUAUACACAAACAAUCUAGAGAAAUCAGGAGCUAAUUACACAAAUUCAGCCUAAAGAAAUAUUCUGUUCCUUUAAUUAUGGAACAAAUAUGGCUAUUUCCUACACUCCCCCUCAAGUUGAGCAGUCGGUGCUCCAAUGCCCAACUUGCGCAAAGUCUCUUCGAAGGCUUUAGUAUUGACCGCUUUUGUCAGGAUAUCAGCUAAUUGAUCCUUUGAUCGAACAAACGGAAGUUUAAUUGUCUUAUCUUCCAAUCUGUCCUUGAUGAAAUGUCGGUCUAUUUCAACAUGCUUCGUUCUGUCAUGCUGGACCGGAUUUUCUGAGAUUUUUAUAGCUGCCUUAUUGUCACAAAACAACUUACAUGCUGUUUUCUGUGGAAAACCAAGCUCAUUCAUGAGUUUCUGAAUCCAUAGGAUUUCAGUUAUUCCUUUUGCUAUUCCUCUGAAUUCUGCCUCUGCACUUGACAAGGCCACAACCUUUUGUUUUUUACUUCUCCAGGUGACCAAGUUACCACCUACUAGAGUAAAGUACCCAGAAGUAGAUUUCCUGCCGUCACGAUCUCCUGCCCAGUCUGCAUCUGUGUAGGCAAUUAGAUCCAGAUGAUCAUUUUUGGCGAAGUAAAUUCCCGUGCUACUUGUACCCUUUAAGUACCUCAAAAUUCUCAUUAAUGCUGUCAUGUGUUGUAUUUGUGGGAGAUGCAUGAACCUGCUCACCACUCCUACAGCGUAAGCUAUGUCAGGUCUUGUGUGAGCUAAGUAAAUGAGUUUUCCCACAAUCUUCUGAUAUUGCUCUCUUUUAGCCAGUUUUGCUCCUUCAUGAAUUUGAAGACCAUGAUUAGCAACGAUCGGUGUCUCAGCUGGUUUACAGUCUAGCAUUCCUGUUUCUGUUAAAAGAUCAAGGAUAUAUUUUUCCUGGUGAAUGAAGAUUCCUUGUUUUGACCUCAGAACUUCUAUGCCAAGAAAGUACUUGAGAAUCCCCAAAUCUUUCAUCUCAAAUUCUUGAAACAGUUUUGCCUUUAAGUCAGUGAUCUCUUUCUCGUCAUUUCCGGUGAUAAUCAUAUCAUCCACAUAAAUUAUCAAGCAAGUGAUUUUAUCUCUAACCCUCUUCAAGAACAGAGUGUGAUCUGAGUUGCUUUGCUUGUACCCAAACUUCUUCAUAGCUUUUGUGAAUCUUCCGAACCAUGCCCUAGGAGACUGUUUUAGGCCAUAAAGUGCUUUUAUCAGUUUGCACCCUUCUUCAUCUCCAAAUUCCUGAGAAUACCCUGGUGGUGCCUCCAUAUAUAUUUCUUCCUCAAUACUCCCGUGAAGAAAGGCAUUUUUUACAUCAAAUUGAUAUAUAGGCCACUCCUUGUUUGCUGCUAUUGAGAGUAAGACCCGUAUUGUAUCAAUCUUGGCUACAGGAGAGAAAGUCUCAGAGUAGUCAAUUCCAUAUGUCUGGGUAUAUCCUUUAGCCACUAGUCGUGCCUUGUAUCUCUCAAUAGUUCCAUCUGCUCGGUAUUUGAUAGAGAAUACCCAUCUGCAACCCACCUUUUUCUUCCCUUUUGGUAGGAUGCAUUUUUCCCAUGUUUUGUUUUUUUGUAGAGCUGAAUACUCAUCCUCCAUAGCUUGUUUCCACUUUUCAUCUCCAAGAGCUUCCUCCACUGUUUUGGGAAUGUCAGUGGAGUAUAAAGAAGCGGUAAAAGCCAUGGCUGUGCUGGACAAGUUCUCAUCGCUGAUUCUCUCUACAGGAUAUUUAGACCGUUGGGCCUCAUACUCUGGAUCAUACCUUCUCGGUGGAACUCCUCUUGUACUUCUCGGAGGUAACUGAUACCUGUUUGGAACACUACCACUAGGAAUAGUAUUAGUUUUAGUAAUAAUAUCAGUUUCAGGGUUCUCAGAGCCGACCUCUGCUGAGGAGAGAUCAUCAGAAGGAUGCUCAUCAGACGGAACUGGAAUGGUCGGAACUGGAGUGGAUAGUAGAGGAGAUACUGAUGUUUCAGGAGCAACAUCGGUGGUAUUGCCUACUUGUGUUGUAGGAUCUGGAUUCAUCACUUCCGGAUAUGUUAGCCAGCUAAGGUCAUCACUCAAACUCUCCCCCUGAGGACUAAGCUGGGUAUAGUAGUAAGACUGUUCAAAGAACUCACAGUCUAAAGUAGUGUAGAUUUUGUCCUGGAUAGGGUCAUAACAUCGAUACCCCUUUUGAUUAACCCCAUACCCAAGAAAGACACAUUUAACAGCUCUGGGUUCUAGUUUGGUGCGUACUCUUUUUUGAAGAUGAACAUAGACAAUACAUCCAAAGACUCGAGGAGGUAAGGAAUGUGAGGAUGGAAUUGAGACAUGUGUCUCAAGAAUAUCGAGAGGUGUAUCGUAAUUGAGGGGUUUUGUGGGAAGGCGGUUAGUGAGAUAGGUAGCAGUAGCAAUAGCUUCGGGCCAGAAGUGGACAGGAACAUGAGAUUCGAUCAUAAGGGCUCGGGUGAUUUCGAGAAGAGUUCUGUUUUUUCGCUCAGCUAUACCAUUCUGUUGAGGUGUGUAAGGGCAGGUAGUUUGGUGGAGGAGACCAUGGUCAGUAAUAAAUUGUUUCAUGUUCAAGGUAACGUAUUCCCCCCCAUUGUCAGAUCGUAAAAUUUUUGGUUGAGCUCUAAACUGAGUGCAAAUCAUGUGGUAGAAUUUAACAAAGACAUCAAACAUUUCAGACUUGUGUUUUAAAAAAUACACCCAACUCAUACGAGUACAAUCAUCCACAAAUAAAACAAAAUAUGAAAAAUUAUGAAAGGUAAAAUCUGGAGCUGGUCCCCAUACAUCCGAAUGAAUCAAGGCAAAUGGUUGAGUACUAUGAGUCACACUAGGAUAAUAUGAGUGCUUAUGGCUUUUAGCUAAAACACAUGCUUCACAAUUCAAAUCUACGGCAAUAUUCUUUAAAGAGGGAAAUAAUCGUUUGAGAUAACCUAUGGAGGGGUGACCUAGCCGACGGUGCCACAUCCAGAGUUGAUGUUCUGGUGAUCCAUGAACAAGCAAAGCGUUACCGUUUUGAGUCACUUCAUUCACAUAGUAUAAUCCUCCUCGUUCAGUACCAUUCCCAAUGAUCCUUCCCGUCUGAGCAUCCUGCACAACACAACCAGAUGAUGUCAUGAGAACAGUACAGUUAAGUUCUCUAGUUAACUGGCUAACAGAUAAAAGCUUAUGAGUAAGAUUAGGAAUUAAGAGGCAGUUCUGUAAAUGGAUAUUAGAGGUAACAUCCACAGUUCCGGCCUGGGUAAUGGGUAUAUAUUCUCCGUUUGCAGUUUGGAUUUGGGUACGAUGAGUGUUGCUGGAAGACACAAUAUCAGAAGAAUCAUAUGUCAUUGUGUCGGUGGCCCCACAAUCAAAAAUCCAUGGAUUGGAUAUUUGGUUGCACAAGAGGCCCACAGAAAUUUGAUUGCCGAUGACUUUACUUUCACGGACUGUACCUGUUGCUUGAUCUGAAUGUAGCGCUGUUGUGAGGGGAAUGUUGUUGUUACCAUCUGGGCCACCUACAGCUAGGUUGGCCUUGCCGUCGGUCUUCUUCUUCUGCUUCAGGUCGUCCCACCAUUCUGGAUACCCAAUGAUUUUGAAACAUCCCUCCUUGGUGUGUUUCGUACCACCACAAUGGCUGCACUUGAGCUGGGUUUUAUCCUCUCGUCGGAAUGACGAGGAUUCUGACCUGCGUUUCACGAGGAGCCCACUACCAAUCUCUGAUGGUUCUCGUCCCAAUGACGAGUCGCUGGCCAUUAUGCCGCGACGUGCAAUCUCCCGUCGUAUAGACGCGUAGGCUGCGUCUAGGGUGGGUAGUGGAUCUUGAUACAAUAUAUCCCUCUUUUCUUUGUCUAGAGUAUCACUCACUCCGGCCAGAAAUUGGUACAAUCUUUGUCUUUGUAUGAAGGAAUUAAAUGAAGUAAUGUCCUCUGCACACUUCAUGGGGUUGGGCAUUCUCCUGUCUAUUUCCUUCCACAUUCCACAGAGUGUUUAGUUUACUGAAAUAAACUUCUAUAGUGUCCUUUCCUUGUCUCAUAGUUGCUGCCUUUGAGCUUAGAUCAUAGAUCUGGAGUUCGUCUCUCCCACUGCUAAGGAGAGUUUCAAUUCCCUUCCAUAGUUCUCGGGCAGUCUUGUAAUCCAGAAAUUGGUUCACAAGAUCUCCAUCAAUGUUUUCAAUGAUCCAAGACAAGACGGUUGAGUCCUUUUGAGCCCACUGUUGGUACUCGGGGUCAUUUUGUGGAACGGGAUUGGCUGUGAUAUGGUUGAGCCUUCCUCGACCACCAAUAGCAAUAUGCAUUAAUUUGCACCAUUUGGUGUAAUUAGUGAAAUUCAGUUUCUCGGCAACACGUACCGUUUGUGGUAUUCCGGUUUCUGGGAGGUUUGAAGUUUUGUGUAGUUUCUGAAAUAAUUGGAACAUUUGUUCCAUUUGUUCCAUAGAGACUAAUUGUGUUUCGGGUGAUUGGGUUGUGUUUUCUGAUUGAUCAGACAUUGUGGGUAAGAAUAUAGUAGAUGAUGAGAACCAGAAAACAAUCCUGAAUCCCAAUCGAACCUUAGGGCUCUGAUGCCAUGUAGAAAAUAUGCAGAAUCAUGUUGUUGGUAUAGAAUAGCUUUUUCAUAUAUCAAUCUAUUGAAGGGAGGCUCCUAUUUAUACACAAACAAUCUAGAGAAAUCAGGAGCUAAUUACACAAAUUCAGCCUNGGGCAUUCUCCUGUCUAUUUCCUUCCACAUUCCACAGAGUGUUUAGUUUACUGAAAUAAACUUCUAUAGUGUCCUUUCCUUGUCUCAUNAGUUGGCCUUGCCGUCGGUCUUCUUCUUCUGCUUCAGGUCGUCCCACCAUUCUGGAUACCCAAUGAUUUUGAAACAUCCCUCCUUGGUGUGUUUCGUACCACCACAAUGGCUGCACUUGAGCUGGGUUUUAUCCUCUCGUCGGAAUGACGAGGAUUCUGACCUGCGUUUCACGAGGAGCCCACUACCAAUCUCUGAUGGUUCUCGUCCCAAUGACGAGUCGCUGGCCAUUAUGCCGCGACGUGCAAUCUCCCGUCGUAUAGACGCGUAGGCUGCGUCUAGGGUGGGUAGUGGAUCUUGAUACAAUAUAUCCCUCUUUUCUUUGUCUAGAGUAUCACUCACUCCGGCCAGAAAUUGGUACAAUCUUUGUCUUUGUAUGAAGGAAUUAAAUGAAGUAAUGUCCUCUGCACACUUCAUGGGGUUGGGCAUUCUCCUGUCUAUUUCCUUCCACAUUCCACAGAGUGUUUAGUUUACUGAAAUAAACUUCUAUAGUGUCCUUUCCUUGUCUCAUAGUUGCUGCCUUUGAGCUUAGAUCAUAGAUCUGGAGUUCGUCUCUCCCACUGCUAAGGAGAGUUUCAAUUCCCUUCCAUAGUUCUCGGGCAGUCUUGUAAUCCAGAAAUUGGUUCACAAGAUCUCCAUCAAUGUUUUCAAUGAUCCAAGACAAGACGGUUGAGUCCUUUUGAGCCCACUGUUGGUACUCGGGGUCAUUUUGUGGAACGGGAUUGGCUGUGAUAUGGUUGAGCCUUCCUCGACCACCAAUAGCAAUAUGCAUUAAUUUGCACCAUUUGGUGUAAUUAGUGAAAUUCAGUUUCUCGGCAACACGUACCGUUUGUGGUAUUCCGGUUUCUGGGAGGUUUGAAGUUUUGUGUAGUUUCUGAAAUAAUUGGAACAUUUGUUCCAUUUGUUCCAUAGAGACUAAUUGUGUUUCGGGUGAUUGGGUUGUGUUUUCUGAUUGAUCAGACAUUGUGGGUAAGAAUAUAGUAGAUGAUGAGAACCAGAAAACAAUCCUGAAUCCCAAUCGAACUUUAGGGCUCUGAUGCCAUGUAGAAAAUAUGCAGAAUCAUGUUGUUGGUAUAGAAUAGCUUUUUCAUAUAUCAAUCUAUUGAAGGGAGGCUCCUAUUUAUACACAAACAAUCUAGAGAAAUCAGGAGCUAAUUACACAAAUUCAGCCUAAAGAAAUAUUCUGUUCCUUUAAUUAUGGAACAAAUAUGGCUAUUUCCUACAAUAUCUUCACCAUGGAUGCGCACAACAAAUCCUCCACUUUGAUAUUAAACCAAACAACAUUUUAUUGGACAAGAACUUCAAUCCCAAAAUCGCUGAUUUUGGAUUGGCAAAGUUGUGUAACAUAGGACAGAGCAUGGUGUCCAUGACUGCGGCUAGGGGGACUAUUGGCUACAUUGCACCCGAAGUGUUUUCAAGGAAUUUCGGUAAAGUUUCAUCCAAAUCAGAUGUUUACAGUUUUGGAAUGUUGUUACUUGAAAUGGUUGGAGGAAAAACCAACGAUAUGACCACAGAACAGAACGCGAGUGAUGUAUACUUUCCCGAAUGGAUUUUUCAUAGGCUUGAGAAAAAUGAAGAGUUGGUGAUCCAAAUUGUAAAUGAAGAUGACAGUAAGAUAGCAAGGAAGUUAACGAUUGUCGGACUUUGGUGCAUUGGAUGGCCUCCGAUAGACCGGCCAUCAAUGAAGGUUGUGAUUCAGAUGUUAGAGGCUGAUGAAUGUCCUGCCAUGCCACCAAAUCCUUUUAACACCCCCACUUCAGGAAAUGCCACACAUGCCAAAUCAUUGUUUGGUGAAAGGCUCCAAGUCAUUUCUGAAACAGAGUGACACCUUCAAUUGCCGUUUACUUUUUCCCACCAAAAGAAAAGCUAUAUUUAUUUUCAUAUGAACUUUUCAAGCAUCAAAAUUACAUUUGAAUCGUUUCUAGUGUUUUCGGUUGCUUACUCAUGUGAAAUGCUAUCAUCCUUGUUAAGAAGGUAAAUAUUAUUCACCGCAUCACAAUUAUUUUCAAUAAAUUUUGUAUCAUUCAAAUCAUGUUCGGAAUAAGACGGCUACUACAAUCAGGUUCGGAAUUGUUUCUUGAAAUGGUAGGAUGUUAAAGUUAUCAAUUCUCCUAAAAUUUUAAGAUAUUAAGAGGAGAGCUUAUCAGGAUCAUAUUGUAAGUCGAACUCAAAUCUCCCACAACCUUAGCUCUGAUAUCAUGAUAGGUAACCAAAUCUAUUAAAACCUCAUAGUCUAAAUAGUGUGAGGAGUGCUUAGUAGGAUCAUAUUGUAUUCUAACACAUGAGAAUAAACAAUAAUAUCGAAAGACCACCAGUGAAACAUACCUUCAAGAAUGGAUAUUGGUCAGCUUGAGAAAGGUGGAAAAUUAGUGAUCCAAAUCGGAAGUUCACGAUCGUCGGGCUUUGGUGCAUUGUAUAGUCGUAUCAUUCUCUUUCUUUUUCUUUGCAAACAAUUAUUCUAAAGGAAAAAAAAAAGUGGCUUUAUGUAAGAAAAAAUAAAGAAAAGGGGACUUGAACGAACGAGAACGAGUCUGUUUUUCAUUCGAUAAUGCAAGGCAGGCUCUACUCGGCUUAAGUUUUUUGUAAACUCAAAAAACCACAUUUUGGUUUCCCUCAGCAAAACAAAUGAACAACAACAUGAUUCUCCUCAGACUCUUGCUAUUUGCGAUCGAAUGAAAUAGACACAGAUGGAUCUGCCUUACAUUUAUACACAACUUGUUUGUUAAAUUGAUGAUAUAUUAAGCAUACACAACAUCAAGAAAUUGCUACCAAAUAAAACAGAUAGAUAGAAACUUUAGCUGCACAUUACAGCGAUGUGAUCAUAUUAAGUUACUAAUACAGAGACAAGCACUAGAAUCUUUCUGUUGUCCUUUCAGUAGCCCUUGACUAUUUCUUCGGCCGGUUCUGUCAACUCUGGAGUUGCUGCUUCUUCAUCCUCUACUUGCAUCUCUGCUUCUUGAUUCUCUUCUUGUGGACUUAAAAAUGGCUUAGGUGGUAUGACCAAUAGCUCGACGUCUCCUUCAAGCAUUUCAAUGACUUUGUUCAUUGAGGGACGAUCACCAGGCUUCAGUUGUAUACACCACAAUGCCACUAUUAUCAUCUUCUUUAACAACUUGGUCUCUUCUGCAGUAGCAUCUUCCAUUUCAAUCUCCUUCCCUUUUUUUAUUUGCUCAUAAAUCCAAGAGGGAAAAUAGAUCUGGCUCAAUUGCUCCACCAAUGGACUUAUAUUUCUCCUUCGCCCCGCCAUUUCCAUCAGCAACAUUCCAAAACUAUAGACGUCUGCUUUAUAAGAAAUACCUCCAAUGUUUUUGUAGAACAGCUCAGGGGCCAUGUAACCUAUCGUGCCCCUGGCUGCAGUCAGAUUGACGAUACUAUCAUCCGUAGCAUACAAUUUUGCAAGCCCAAAAUCAGAAAUUUUUGGAUUAAAGUCCUCGUCUAGGAGAAUGUUGUGAGGCUUAAUAUCAAAAUGCAAGAUUCGCAUAUCACAUCCUCGGUGUAAAUAGUCAAUUCCAGCAGCCACUUUGUGAGAAAUCUCAUACAUUUUUUCACAACUCAAUGAGAUAUGCUGCUCCUCUCCUUCACGAGGGAAAAUGUACUUCUCAAGAGAUCCAUUAGGCAUGAACUCAUAGAUUAAAGCACGUUUUGAACCCUCAAAACAAAAACCAAUCAUUUGCACAACAUUAGCAUGAUGAAUCCUUCCAAUUGUAGCAACUUCAUUUAUGAAUUCUUGCCCUGUAGCCUUCGACUUGCCCAUAAUCUUUACGGCUACAACCAGGCCACUACGCAGCUUUCCUUUGUACACAGUACCGAAUCCUCCUUCACCCAAUUUGUCUUUGAAGCCAUUAGUUAUCUUUUUUAUAUCAGAGAAAUCAUAUCUUAUGGGCAUGAGAAUGUUUUUCUGACCUUGUAAGAAAUCCUCAAUGCUGUCAUAUAUUGACCAAUGCCUUCUCCUCAUCUUGAAGAGUAACAAUGCUAGGAGAAAUGGGAUUCCACACAAAGCUCUUAUACCAAUAAACUUGCCUAUAUUUGCAAACAGAAAGUAAUGAAUGAGGUCCUUCAUAGUAGGAAUUCCACUAGGAUGAACUUGCACAAGAAAAUUAAUUAGGUGCACAGAGUUGAAGGUGCACAAGUUAUGAUUACAGAAUAUCGAUUCCUUACAGAGUUAAGUAUCAAUUAACCAACUAGAUUUAAAAAUCACUAAAAUUGAGAGGCUCCAAACAAAUUUUCGAAAAACACCUAUAUAUUUUAAAUUUGUGGGGUCACUUCUAUAAUUUUGGAAAAUUUAGAAUUGUAAAAAAAUAUAAAAAAAAAUUAGGAGGGACACGUGUCCCCUAGGCCUCUUCUAGAUCCACCCCUGCUUCCAAGCCGAAGUUAGUAAUAUGCAGUUAAUAAUCAACAGAAAACAGAGUACUUCAAUAUGCAAAUUUUGUAGAGGUCUGCAACCUAAUUGUUAGGGACUUGCAUCCUUGAAACUUCUUAGUAAGAUUCUGAGUCAUCAAUUUUUUUGUUACGCUAGAAGACAAAGCAUGAGCCACAGGAGUUGGGAGAGGGAAAACUUACCAGUGAAUUUAAGUAUAAAUGGAAUCCGAUCUGUGGUGGUAACAAAAAAAAGAGAGUGAGUUAGAUCAAGGCGUCAAUCGUAUUUCAUCAGGUCCACAACAAUGGCAUAAAUUUGAACUAGUUACACUCUCAGUGAUGCAGCUAAGUAAAUAGAUACAUAUGUUUGUGUAUAAACUGGUUUUUGGUAUGUCAAAUGUAAACCACAAGAAAACUGAAUACACUCACAAAUAAGAUACGCAGGAAUGUCUCUCAAGAUUUCGAGCAGGCCUGCAAAAUACAUGUACACACACAAUAUCAGUUGCAGAAUCCGUUGAUGCGAGAUUAAAUUACUUUAUAAAUAAGUAGAAGAUCGCACUCAAAGAUAAUAGCGUACUUCCAGAAUCCUGAAUUCUAGGGAGCUUACAACCAAAAGUGGAAAACAAGUGAGUCGAUAUAAAUAAGAAUAAAUGAUAAGAUCUAAGAAUAGAGGACGGAUCUCAUGAAAAAUGAUAACGGAGGAUAAUUGCUGCUCAUCAUUGGGUGCACACUUACGUUCGGGUAAAGAUAAAGUCGCUGAGAAGGGCUGGCACUUGUAACUGUAAGCAUUGUGUUCAAAGUGACGAACACAAUGAUAGUCGAGGCUACAUGACUUGUAGCAGAAGAUUUUUCCCCACGGAACAUCGAAUCCAUAAGCCAACACCUCACUGCGGAUGUCUUCAUUAUCUGCCUUGCUGAUUAUAGUAAUAUCAUCAGAACUAUAUGUAACAUCGGACCGCCAAUCUAAUGACACCCAAGCUGCAUCGCGUACCUUACAACCCUCUACUACAUCCCCCAAUUUUAGAGGGCCAGCAACAACAUAAGAGUAUUCACUAGGACAGUAAUUUUUGCCAGAAAAAGAUUUUGUGUCAUUAUUACCCCAACUGGAAAAGGCAUCAGAAGUUGUAGCAUCAAUAUACCCAGAUUCUGAAGUUAAAGGAGCAGGGCAAUUCAUAAAUAUUAUCGGCGUGUUAUUCUGAGCUAGCCCAUCGAAAUGUCUAAAAGAAGUUUGAUUUGUAUGACUGAGCCGCAGUGUCAGGUUCUGGUAAUUGAUGCCUGCAACCUGGUACAUGUAUAAGUUAUCAUCGUAAAAAGAAGUCACGUAUAUCAUGGUCCGAUUGUCCUGGCAGUGGAGUUCGCGGCUGAGUAGACCAUGACGACCACAGUUAUGAAGAAGAUCAUCUUUCAAGUAGAAAGGGCAGCUUAUGUUACUGAUAUCACCGCAAGAAGAAGGAUCAUUAUUGCUGCUGCUUGAAAACGUGAAGAAAGUGAACGAUACUAAUAGCAUGAGCUGGAGUGAAUAUGUAGAUUUGUCGAAACCAGCACAAAAAUAUUCAAGGAAACAUGUUCUUGCUCCCAUGAUCCACAGCUCAUCCAAAAAAAAAAACCUCAGAUUUCCGGGUUUUUAGUAAACUUUCUCUUUGAUGAGCAGUAUAUAAUCCUAAGGCACAACACAAACUUUCAAGUAAUUUGAUUAUAAUUAUUAUUUUUCAAGUAUUUUUAUAUAGACUAUAUAAUAAUUAUUAUAAUAAAUUUUGAGGGGUCACGGGGUAAAGUAGCUGUUAGAAACUAAUAUACACAUUGUUACUUCUAAAACAGUUAAUGUUAACUACGGAUUUGGACGGAAUAGUGACUAGGAGUUACAACUUGCACGGAAUGUUAAGUUAGAGUGUAUAUUGUCACGUUUUAAAGUUCAGAUACUAAACUUUAAUUAGAACAAAUCUAGGGUUACAAAGUACUCCCUUUUUACUUGUCCCUUUUGAAAAAAUAACGCAUCUUAAGAAAAUGUUAGUUGGAUAUCUUGUUUUUAUACAUAUCCCUAAUAAAUGUAGUGAAUUAGAUAGAAUUGUGUAUAUAUAUAUGCUAGCCAAACAUUGAAAGUUGUUACUUUUUGAAAAAACAUACAAAAAGUUGCUUUGAAAAGAGAAGUGGACAAGUAAUUUGGGACAAUUUUUUUUUCCAAAGUGGACAUGUAAAAAGGGACGGAGGGAGUAUAAUUAAAUCUAUAUAAAAAUAUACAUGAGAUAGUGGUGUCCCGUUGUUUAAUAUAGUUGGAUGCUUCAGUUAUUGUUUUGAAGAUAUAUCAAAUCUUAACAUAGCACUGCGAGGAAUUGAGGAUAUUAUAGCGCGGUAUGGGUGAGUUUGCGGUAUGGGUGAGUUUGAAAUAAAUACUUGGAGUAAAAGUGAAAUAUAAGUGAAGCAAGUUAAGAAUUAUAAGUGAUUAGUGAGUUUAAAAUAAGUGCUUAGUGUAAAAGUGAAGUAGAAGUUUGAAACAAGUUAAGAAUUUGAAAUAAAUACUUAGAGUAAAAGUGAAAUAUAAGUGAAGCAAGUUAAGAAUUAUAAGUGAUUAGUGAGUUUAAAAUAAGUGCUUAGUGUAAAAGUGAAGUAGAAGUUUGAAACAAGUUAAGAAUUUGAAAUAAAUACUUAGAGUAAAAGUGAAAUAUAAGUGAAGCAAGUUAAGAAUUAUAAGUGAUUAGUGAGUUUAAAAUAAGUGCUUAGUGUAAAAGUGAAGUAGAAGUUUGAAACAAGUUAAGAAAUUAUAAGUGAUUAAAGUAUUUGAGAAAGAAGAAAAAUUUUAAUUUGUAACCUCUAAAUGUGUUUUGCUUUUUUAUAAAAACUAGUUGAUAACCCGUGCCAAGCACGGGUUUAAAUAAAAUUUUAAAAUUUGUUAUUUAUUGGAAAAAUAAUGUCUUUUUUAGUUACAUUAUCAUAUUUUUUUAUUAUACCUAUUUAAAUUAUUGUUUUUAAAUGAUAUUUAAAUUAUUGUUAUUUAAUAUAAGACUUUCUAUAUAUUAAAAUUUGAUCCCACUUUAAAUUUAUUUCAUAACAAUAUGAGUCCCUGUUCUAUGUAGUCCACAAAAUAAGAGUAUUGGCGUCUAAAAUUAUUUAAAAAUAAUCUACUCGUUUCAAUUUUAAUUUUUUUAGUUUACAAUAUUUGUAAACAUCUGACAAUUUGCAGGUUAUGUUCUACAAUAUAAUCGUUGCAAUCAAAAGAUAAAACAACUAUAUUAUAAAUCACUAAACACUACUCCCUCCGUCCCUCUGAUUUCUAUACACUUUCCUUUUCGGGAUGUCUCAUUCAGUUCUAUACAUUUCAAAACUUUCCCAAAAUAGUAAACUUUUUUAAUAUAAAAAUCUUACCCACCCACUAUUUCCUUCAACUUUUUCAAAUCUAUCAAUUAAAUAUUCAUGGGUCCCACCACUAUACCUACUUUUCUUUCUCUUUCUCAUUACUUUACACUACUUUAUACACUUUUCUUAGUCUCCGUGUCCAACCCAAAUGUAUACACCCCAGAGGGACGGAGGGAGUAUAUAUGUUCUAAAAUAUAACUCAUAACUAGAAUAAUGAUCUUAAUGAUUGUAAAUGUUGCAAGAUUUUAAUGAUUAAUUGAUAAUUAUAUAUUUAAAACUACUUAAAGAUGGUAAAUUAUAUAUAAAAUUUGAAUAAUUAAAGAUAUUAUUUAUGAUUAAACUAAAAGAUUAUGACUGGUACUUACUGCGUCUUAAAUGCGUACUUUAUGGAACUUAACUCUAACAGUAUGUCUUAUUUUAGUAAAAUUACUAUGUUGUUUGAUGAUUUUUAAAUUGUGAAAAUAAUAUUCAAGAUCAAUACAUAUAAGUUCAUUUAUAGCGUCUUUAAUCUUGAACAAAAAUUCAAAAUUUUAGGUCACAAUUAUUUUAUUCAUUUAAUAGGCAAACAUUAUAUAUAAUUCUAGUUGGAGUUUUUGUAGAUCUAACAGUUGUUUGAUAAACUGAUAUUGUAGUUUGACAAAAUUAAUUAACUUUCCAAAAGUAAUUUGAUAUCAAAUAUUUUGACGUAUGUCUAGAGUUUUGGUUCUUCUAUUAUAUGUUACAAUAUGGAUAAUGACUUCAUUUUCUCUGAGUUCCUAUUUGUCAAGCCAGUGUUACCACCGCCUUAUUUGUCUUUAUCGCAAUCUUCUGAAAAACACUACACUGAAUGAUAAUACUCCCUCCAUCCCCUCAAUUGUUUACAUUGGAGAGGGACACGGAGACCAAGACAAUGUAUAAAAAAUGAGUAAAGUUAGAUGAAAAGUGGGUAAAGUGGUGGAACCUAUCAAUAUUUAAUAAUAGAUUUGAGAUAGUGAAGGAAGGUAGUGGGUGUAAUAGUAGUUUUUAUUGUUAAAUAUGAGAUAUAGGGGAAGAUAGUGGGUGUGAUGAUGGGAAAAACUUACUAUUUAUAGUAACGUAAAGAAAUGAGAAGGACAUCCCAAAAUAGUAACCGUAAAGAAAUGAGAGGGAGAGGGAGUAAUUAUUAUUAUUAAAAAAAAUAUGACUAAGUUUUUUGGUACUUUGGUAUCAAUAUUGAAUCUUUUUUAUUUUAAUUCUGAAAUAUGAUAAAAAAAAAUUAUAGAUUUGUUUCGUAAAUUAAAUUGUAUGAGUUUUAAAAAUUAAAACGAAUAUUUGACGUAUGUCUAGAGUUUCGAUUCUUUUAUUAUAUGUUGCAAUAUGGACAAUGAUUUCAUUUUUUUUAGUUUCCAUUUGUCAAGUCAGUGUUACCACCGCCUUAUUCGUCUUUAUCGUAAUUUUCUGAAAAACGCUAAAUGAUAAUUAUUAUUAUUAUUAAAAAAUAUAUGAUCAAGUUUUUUGGUAUUUUGGUAUCAAUAUUAAAUCUUGUUUAUUUUAAUUCUGAAAUAUGAUAGAAGUUUUAUAAAUUUAUUUCGUAAAUUAAAUUGUAUGAGUUUUAAUUAUUCGUUGACAUUAUUAUUCUAUUGAUAGGAUAUUAUAUUAAUAUCAAUAUGAACUCCUUAUUUAUUUGAACUCUGAAAUAUGAUAAAAGAUUUAUAGAGUUGUUCCGUAUAUUAAAUUAUUUGAGUUUUAAUAAAUUAAAACAAAUAAUUUUGUUGGUAAUAUAUUUUUAUUAGUGAGAUAAUUGUUAUAAUACAAAAUCCUGUCAAAUAUAGAAGUUUUUUGAUAAUAGUAAUAAUUGUUAAAUAAAAAAUAAUAUGAUGAUAGCCAAAUUUCGAUAUGAAUUUUAUAGAACUAUUUCAUAAGUUAAAUUGUUAGCGAUUUAACUGUGCAGAUAGGAUAAAUGUUAUAUUACAAAAUCCUAAACACCAUUGAAGUCUUUUUAUAGUAAGAUAAUAAUCUUAACCAAUAUUGAAAUUUUUAAUAAUAAAAUCCGAAUCAAUAUAGAAUUCUUUUCAUAAUUGUAUAUUAAUAAUUAUAAAAUCCUAAAAAUAUAUAAUAAUAAGUUUAAAAUACUAACAAUAUAAAAAUCUUUUCAUAAUUCUAUAAUGAUUAUUGUUAUUAAAUAAAAAUUUAUAUAACAUUGUCAUAAACAAUAUUGAAGUUUUUAACAAUAAAAUUCUUAUCAAUACAAUGGUCUUUCACGGUCCUAAUGAAUAUUGAGAUCUUUAAUAAUAAAAUUUUAUUCAAUAUAGAAGUCUUUGAUAAUAAUAUAAUAAUGACUAUAAAAUUCUAAUCAAUAUGAAAGUGAUCGAAUUUUGGUACUUUGAUACCGAUUUUCCACCGAAACGUGAUUUCGCUUAUUAAUAAAGGGUAUUGAUUGAUGUGUCAAGAAAAAUAAAAAUCAAUUUUUUUUAAAAAGAAGUACUUUCUCCUCCGUUGCUAAACAGGCACCCAUAAUAUUAUUUAAGUAGUGUUGUUUAAAUUGAUACAUACCAUGUAUAAAAAAAUUAUUAAUAUUAUACUAUUAUUGCGAGGUUUAAUUUUAUCGCUGGAAAACGAUAUCCAAAGAAUUAGUAAACUGCGCAACCCUAAACAAGUGGGCUUGGGGUUUCAAAAGUCUAAGACAGGGUGGAUAAGGGGUCACUUUCUAAGUAAAUUAAAAUGUUACUCCCUCAGUGUUAGUACGGGGCUGAGACACGGAUUUUAAUAUUGUUUUAUAAUUUGUUUUUGUAUUUUUUUCAGUAUAAAAAUAUAAUAUAAAUUAUAUUUUUAGAUAGAAAAAAUAAUUUAAAAAUAAGUUAAAAAUUAUAUUUUAUAAAAGUCUUUAAGAGCAAGUCCAAUAUGUUACGUAUCUCAUUACAUAUUAAUAAUAUAAAAUAAUGAAUACUAGUGAGUCUUAGUGAUUUAGGUAAUCUACUUUUAGUAUCAAAUUCAAUAGCAAUCCCUGUAUUUACCUCUCUAUUAUUAUUUUAAUAAUAAAUUUGAGAGAGAGGAUAGGGGAAAGGAGGAAAAACAUGAAGAAAGAAGGUGAGAGAUAGAAUUUUUUAUUCACAAAUAAUAGAUAAAUAAUGGCUAGAAGUUACCUGAAAAUAGGUAAUCACUGGGAUAAUGUUGGCAUGCAUUUUUUUUGAUAAAUUACUUAAAUAUAAAUUUAGAAGCUCAUUUAUAUAAUCUAUUAGUCUUGUUCUAAAUACGUGUCAACAGUGAAAAGUAAACGUCUAAUGAACUGCAACAAAGUUUCCUAUCAGACGUGAGGUAAACAGUUAAGUACUGUAUAUGACUCUCAUCCAUGUUGGAAAGUUUCUUUAAACGAUCUAUUCGAACUUUGUUUUCAAUAUAGUCUACACUCUACCCUUACUCGUCCAUCUUAAAAUAGAUAUCAUGUUACUUUUUUCCAUAUAAUUUAAGAUGUAAAUAUGUGAUUUUCACCCGACAAAAAAAUUAUGUGAUUUUGAUAUAGUAUUUUAUAACUAAUUUUUGGAAAAAGAAUUAAAAUGUUAUAUUUUUCUGAAAAAACAUAAUAAAUGAAAAUAAAUAUUUUUUAAUACAUAAAAAUUAUUGUACAACCCACACUUAUUUUAAGAUGGAGUAAUUAUAAUUGACAACUGAUAUAGAACAUACAGAUAAUGUCGAUAUACAACGACCACAAAAAAGUACUAGAUAUGAAAUAGGAUGAGGUAAUUUUUCACUAAAUGAUGUCGUAGCACCAAAUAACAGAUGAGAAAAAUUUUAAAAUGAGAUAUUUUUGGCUAAAUGAUGUUGUAGUACCUUCCGUGUAUAUAUCAAAAAUUUAAAAUUAAAUUUUUUAACUUUUUUUUGGCUCAACAUAUACUACUAACAUUUAUAUCUGAGGAGAAUGCACCCUUACAAAUAUUAUAGAGUUUUGAAGGUGAUAUAAGAGGAUCGGUACAUAAUGCAAACAGGCUUUCUGCCACUGCUGCAAACUGACCAAAGAGAAAAAAGAAAACUAGCACAACACUCAUACUCCAUCUCCCUCAAAACGUAUUUUUAAAAAAUGAUUUUAAUUAUGUGAUCAAAUAUCAAAAUAUCAAAUAAACUAUAUUUCAAAAUACAGAAAGUAUAUAGUACUUAUAGAAGAGAGAAAAAGUGGGAGUAGUUUUAUAUUAUAUAAUAAUUUAUUAUAUUUAUUAAGUUAUUAAAUAUAAAAAAUUAGACAAGACAUCUCAAAUUAAAAAGUUUGAAGAAAAUGAUCGGAAAGAAUGGAGAAUACGAGACCAAGUCUCAUCGAAACGGGUCAAAAAAAUACCACUGUCGAUACACAUUAAUUUAUUAACCCAGGGUGUCUGCAGGACGUUUACUCUUCAAAUGAUAUCGCAUAGAAGUGGAGACAGCAUUGACAUGUAGUUUUCAUACACAGAGUCUGCUGUUACGAGUAACAUUGAGUCUACGGUAUUGUUUGGGGUUGAUGGUCAGCUACAGCAGCUUUUUAUCGAAAUGUAUGUGAAAAAUUAUUUGGUAAAUCUAAAAGCAGCUUUUCAAAACAGUAAUUUUUAGCUGAAAAUCUGUUUUUGGAAAAAGCAGUUCCUCUCAGAUUUUUGAAAAAAGCUGUUUUCAGAUUUUGCAAGAAACUGUUACAAAUUUCACUAUCAAACCUCGUCAAAAAAAAUUAUCUUUUAAUAUUAUAACUCAAAAUAAGUAAAUAUCAAAAAAAUUACCAAACAGUUAUCUGAUUUUCACAACAGCACUUUUUUACCGGCACUUUUCCUUACCGCACAGCAACUUUUAACAGCACUCUCAAAUAGACCCUAAGCAUAAUUAUUCGAAACUGGUCCAAACCGGCCAAUCCAAAUCGUUCAAAUCAAAUAUUUCGAUUUUCUAACGGUUUGGUUUGGUUUUGGUAGUUAGAAAACCUUUGAUUUCGGCCUUCAAACUGACAAAAAAAAAACCGAACCGAACUAUUGGCAAAUAUGUUAUAUAAUUAAUAUUUUUAUAAAUUUAAUUUAGAUACUUGUGUUGAUCAAUAUUAUAAAUAUUUAUUACUUUCGAAAUUAUUCUUCCCUUUUUUUCUUCAUCCUUAUUUUAUCUACUCUUCAUUAAUGAUCAACCUUUUCUUUUUUAUACUUUUAAAUAAAACAUUUUGUUUAGUUUUUAAAAUAAAAUGAUUUAUUUGUUUUCAUAACAACAUAUAAGAGUAGCACCUAAAAUUUUUAUAUCGAAGAUUAUACAAGUUUCACAUUUAUCUUUUAUUAAGUAUUUUGUUAAGUGAUUAAAAAAAAAGCACCUAGAAUUAUUAUAAUUUAACAAGUGUGAACAAUUUUUUAUUUUAAUAUUUUGGUAUCAAACGGAACCAAUCCGUUAAAAGUUGGUUCGAUUUGGAUACAGUUUGCAAAUUUUUGAAACUGAAAAAUUCGAUUUGGUUCAAUUUGGACAGAAAAACCACCUAAAUCAAACUGUGCUCAGCUUUAAUUAACACGUGCUGGAGCAUUAGUACACAACCUCAAAUUUUAUGGGCACAAGUUUGAUAGUAAUACACUAUAUAGUAAUUAAUUUGAUUAAAUGAUCUUUUUUUUUUGAGAGAAUUUGAUUAAAUGAUCUUAAAAUCUUUAACUUUUGUAUAAAAAUUAUUUAAAUAUCUAGUUUUCUUUUACAAUUUAUAAUUUAAUAUUUGUUUUUAAAUUAAUUUUAUAUUAAAUAACGUAAACAAUCACAUAUAUAAUAUAAUAUUACUUAUUUGUAAAGAUAGAUUAUUCAAUAUAACAUUGUUUUUAGAGAUUUUUCUAUUAAUAAAAAUAACGUUACUUUUAAAUAAUUUCUUAUUUAUGAUCUAUAACAAAAUAAAUUUAUAUGAAAAAUAUAAUUUUACUUAUUAAUCAAUUUUAAGUCGAUUUAACUUUAAAAUUACAAAAAUGAAGGGUGUAAAUGUGUAAUAUAUUAUAAAAUAAUAAGCGCGAAGUUUCGUCUCCACGUAAUGAUCAAUACGAAUAAAUAAAUUUCGGUAAUUAAUAUAAUAAUUUACUGAAACUGAUUAAUUUUUUUUGCUACAAGAUAUAACUUGUUCUCUAAAGAGGUUAUAUUACAUAAUACUCCCUCCAAAUGAGCCAGUGUCUUUGGACAGGAAAUAUAUUGACCGUUUAUAUUCGUGAUUUUUCUAAAAUAAAAAUGUCAUACAAUAAUUUUUAUUUGCAAGGAAAAGGUCUUAGAAUUAAAUUAUAUAACUAUGCUGUCAAAUGCAUUUUUAAAUUGUUUGGUGAAAAUCAACAAGGUUACAGUAUCUAAUUCAGGAGGUUGAGAUGUUUUGAGUAUCGGAUUUUCUAGUAUGUGCACACUAACCACCACUUUAGCUAGGUGGUGGAUUUUUAUUGUUUCUCAUCCUAUUAAUAAUGAUGUCCUCGUGUGGCAAAAAAAAAUAAAAAUAAUGAUGUCCUCGUGCAUGCAAAAAAAUUUACUCUGUCCCAAAAUAAGUGUCGUUUUGACUUCAUGCACGUCAUUUAAGGUGCAAUAAAAACAUACUUCUACACAUUAUUUUCCAAAUUUUAUUUUUUUGAAUAAAAAUAUAGUUAUUAAACUUUUAUUCAGGAAAAAAAAAUUUGAAAAAUAAUAUAUAGAAGUAUGGUUUUUUUCCACAUCAAAUUACCUAAAAAAGACAAUUAUUUUGGGACCGAGGAGUAGACAAAUAAAAAAUCCCCACCUAAUCAAAAAGUAGUGUCAGUGUGUGGUCAUGUCACGACUAGAAACACCCUUUUGAGUAUAACAGUAUUGACAGCAAUUCUCAUGCAGCAAAUACAGAAAGCAUAGAUAAGAUGUGCAAGUCCUUGCUGUUUAAUACGUGUUACUGGAAAAUGGUCGUGUUAGUAUUGAUGUUGUUGACAAUAGUUGCAGGUGCAGAAAAAAAUUGUAGUGUGAGUCGAUGCCCAGGUAGAGACUGGCCGGAUAUUCAUUUUCCGUUUUGGCAAAAACCCAAAAGCAGUACUUCUCAGCCGGCAGAUGACUGUGCCCACCUGCCUGACUUCCAGCUUUCUUGCGGUGCCAGUCCCGCCAGAAGAGGAGAAGAUCAAUCAAGCAAGGAGGAAACCUUAUUGGAUUUUCAUCACAUAGUGCACACAUCAAUCCAGGGACUCGAUCUCUCUUUCAAGUACAAGGCAGUUGUUACGUGGAUCAUCCAUAGCUCCCAAGUUUUAUUUAUAGAUACCCCUAUUCUCAUUGAUAUAGUACCAAGUUCGGUGUUAGCUAAUUCCUCAUCUGCUUUCCACCAUCUUCCUCUCAAAACAUAUACUUCUGAUUCUUUAUCUUUUUGUUACCUAAGUUUGGGUUGUAGAAAUGAUGGCUAUGAGCUCUUCAAUGAUGACCCCUUUAUUAGUUAUAAUUGUCAUAACAGCUACACAUUUUUCAAUUGUUCCUCUUCUUCACCAGUCAACGAGCAUAAUGGAAAUAAGGUCAUCAAUUCCCUCAGCACCAGAGCUUUCAAGGUUUAUGCAUAUUCUUCCCACAUCGCUGCAAUAGAUAUGCUGGACCAAGUAAGAUCUUGCACUAAGAUGUUCGAUAUUUCAACUAAGCUCAACCAAUCUUCACAGUCCUGUGAAUUCGACACCCUAGUACGUUACCGAGAGUAUCCACUAUUGAGUUGGUCCACGAAAGUAGGUGGCGGAAAAUGUGAAGCUGAGCGACAGAGUUGUAAGACUUAUGAUGAAAGAGAUCGAGGGAGUCCCAGAAAGAGUUACGCAGAUGUUCCGCAACCCCAACCAUCCACGAGAGAUUCAGGUACUAUUCUAUGUGAUUUCAUUGCUUCUUAUCAAACUAAUUGUCCAUCGAUUUGUCACUCUCUUCGACUUUCCAAGAAUCUUAACCGCAUACUAGUUAACAAUAUUACCCUCCGUCCCAAAAUAAGAGUAUGACCUUUUACACACGUGAUUAUUUGAGGGGGUAAAAAAACAUGGAGCAUAUUAUUUUUCAAAUUUUUUUUUCUUAAUAAAAUUUUAGAUGUUAAAUUCUUGUUCAUAAAACGAUAAUUUGAAAAAUUAUAUAUAUAAAUAUGUUUUUUUACACCUCAAAUUACGUGUAAAACGUCAAAGCGAUUCUUAUUACGGGGCAGAGUGAGUAUAUUUCUAAUUUCUUAUUUGUAAAAAAAAUAUGACAUUAAUAUUUUUAUUCAUAAAAGAUUGUUAAAAAUAUAUUUUUAAGUGUGGUCAAAAUUAUAAAAAAUACAUGCAAAAAGUACCCCCUCCAUUUUUAAACAUAGGUCGCUUAUUUAUUUUAACACACAAUUUAGGUGUUCUAACUUCUAACCGCAUAACCAAUUAUAAUUUUCUUUUUCUAAAUUAUAAUAUUGAUCACAUAUUUUUUUAUUAAGAAAUUUUUUUUUGAAAAUAAUGAUUUUAAGCAUCCGCUCGAACAAUUUAGAAAAACGUGUCAAAUAUCAAAACUCAAACCACUGUAUUUCAAACCAGGUGUAACGUAUUCAGAUAUAGAAUAUGAAGAAUUUUCAUAUUACUUGGUGUCUUGAAGUUUGCUUGAUCAAUCAUAUCUGUUAUUCAAAAAUGUUAGUGACUCACAAUUCAAACUUACACAUUUUGCAGGUCGUGCAAUUGCCAAACUACUUAUAGCUGGUGAGUGUUGACCGUUAAGUAUAAUAAUUUCUUAGAGCUGGUCACCUAAGUGAGCUAGUUGCAAUUUCUCGUAUUUUAAGAAUUUGACAGUUAAUUUCUCAUUUUAUUUGACAGUUAAUUUCUCAUUUUAUUUGACAGAGCUGGUCACCUAAGUGUCCAUGCACAAUCUUUUUUAAGUGAUUUGGGUUUCUUAGAGAAGUCCAGGAUCCAUGGCAUACAUAUGCCAGGGAAACCAACAUUCAGCUUUCUCACCGUUGGAUGAAUAUCCAGCAGUCAAGAUUAAAAUAAAAGUUUAAUAUGUCCGGUGUUUUGCCGGAUGGGAAAAAAGAUCCCGUCCAACUGUUAAAAAGCGCUGGACGUAGGUUAUGAUCCUGACUAUUCAUCCAACGGCCAGAAAACUGACUAUUGGUUAAGGGGUCGUUGGCAUAUGUAUGGUAGGGACCUGGACCCUUAUUAGAGUUGGAUGUGUUUCCGGUUUUACCUGAUCUUUUAUCGAAUGUGUUUGCAGUUUUAUUGCCAUGCAUCUUCUUGGUUGUACUUGGCCUUAUCUUCUGGUAUAACUUUAUCCGAUUAAAUAAACAAAGGGAGGAGGAGGAGGAGUUGAAGAUUAAAAUGUUUAUGGAGAACUAUAAAGCGCUCAAGCCAACAAGAUACUCCUAUAGUGACAUCAAAAAGAUCACAAAUAUGUUCAAGCAUAAAUUAGGCCAAGGAGGUUAUGGAUCUGUAUUCAAGGCACAGAUUUCAGCUGAUAUUCCAGUCGCGGUGAAGGUUCUUCAUAUUGAUUCCAGAGCUAAUGGUGAUGACUUCAUCAACGAGGUUGGUACUAUAGGUAAAAUUCACCAUAUCAAUGUGGUUCGACUGCUCGGGUAUUGUGCUGAUGGAUGUCAUCGAGCUCUAGUUUAUGAGUUUCAACCUAAUCAUUCACUAGAAAAGUUCGUUUAUAGAAGAGGUAAACCACAAAAUUUCAUAGGUUGGAAGAAAAUGCAAAAAAUUGCUCGAGGUAUAGCCAAGGGGAUGGAAUAUCUUCACCAUGGAUGCGCACAACAGAUUCUCCACUUUGAUAUUAAACCUAACAACAUUUUAUUGGACAAGAACUUUAAUCCCAAAAUCGCAGAUUUUGGAUUGGCAAAGUUGUGUAACAAAGGACAGAGCAUGGUGUCCAUGACUGCGGCUAGGGGGACUAUUGGCUACAUUGCACCCGAAGUGUUUUCAAGGAAUUUCGGUAAAGUUUCAUCCAAAUCAGAUGUUUACAGUUUUGGAAUGUUGUUACUUGAAAUGGUUGGAGGAAAAACCAAUGAUAUGACCACAGAACAGAACGCGAGUGAUGUAUACUUUCCCGAAUGGAUUUUUCGUAGGCUUGAGAAAAAUGAGGAGUUGGUGAUCCAAAUCGAAAAUGAAGAUGACAGUAAGAUAGCAAGGAAGUUAACGAUUGUCGGACUUUGGUGCAUUGGAUGGCAUCCGAUAGACCGGCCAUCAAUGAAGGUUGUGAUUCAGAUGUUAGAGGCUGAUGAAUGUCCUGCCAUGCCACCAAAUCCUUUUAGUACCCCCACUUCAGGAAAUGCCACACAUGCAAAAUCAUUGUUUGGUGAAAGGCUCCAAGUCAUUUCUGAAACAGAGUGACAAUUGACGUUUACUUUUUCCCACCAAAAUAAAAGUUAAAUUUAUUUUCAUAUGAACUUUUCAAGCAUCAAAAUUACAUUUGAAUCGUUUCUAGUGUUUUCGGUUGCUUACUCAUGUGAAAUGCUAUCAUCCUUGUUAAGAGGGUAAAUAUUAUUCACCGCAUCACAAUAUAUUAAGCAUACACAACAUCAAGAAAUUGCUACCAAAUAAAACAGAUAGAUAAAAACUUUAGCUACACAUUACAGCGAUGUGAUCAUAUUAAGUUACUAAUACAGAGACAAGCACUAGAAUCUUUCUGUUGUCCUUUCAGUAGCCUUUGACUAUUUCUUCGGCCGGUUCUGUCAACUCUGGAGUAGUGGAGUUGCUGCUUCUUCAUCCUCUACUUGAAUCUCUGCUUCUUGAUUCUCUUCUUGUGGACUUAAAAAUGGCUUGGGUGGUAUGACCAAUAGCUCGACGUCUCCUUCAAGCAUUUCAAUGACUUUGUUCAUUGAGGGACGAUCACCAGGCUUCAGUUGUAUACACCACAAUGCCACUAUUAUCAUCUUCUUUAACAACUUGCUCUCUUCUGUAGUAGCAUCUUCCAUUUCAAUCCCCUUCCCUUCUUUUAUUUGAUCAUAAAUCCAAGAGGGAAAAUAGAUCUGGCUCAAUUGCUCCACCAAUGGGCUUAUAUUUCUCCUUCGCCCCGCCAUUUCCAUGAGCAACAUUCCAAAACUAUAGACGUCUGCUUUAUAAGAAAUACCUCCAAUGUUUUUGUAGAACAGCUCAGGGGCCAUGUAACCUAUCGUGCCCCUUGCUGCAGUCAGGUUGACGAUACUAUCAUCCGUAGCAUACAACUUUGCAAGCCCAAAAUCAGAAAUUUUCGGAUUAAAGUCCUCGUCUAGGAGAAUGUUGUGAGGCUUAAUAUCAAAAUGCAAGAUUCGCAUAUCACAUCCUCGGUGUAAAUAGUCAAUUCCAGCAGCCACUUUGGAAGAAAUCUCAUACAUUUUUUCACAACUCAAGGAGAUAUGCUCCUCCUCACCAUCACGAGGGAAAAUGUACUUCUCAAGAGAUCCAUUAGGCAUGAACUCAAAGACUAAAGCACGUUUUGAACCCUCAAAACAAAAACCAAUCAUUUGCACGACAUUUACAUGAUGAAUCCUUCCGAUUGUAGCAACUUCAUUAAUGAAUUCUUGCCCUGUAGCCUUCGACUUGCCCAUAAUCUUGACAGCAACAACUAGGCCACUACGCAGCUUUCCUUUAUACACAGUACCGAAUCCUCCUUCGCCCAAUUUGUCUUUGAAGCCAUUAGUUAUCUUUUUUAUAUCAGAGAAAUCGAAUCUUAUGGGCAUGAGAAUGUUUUUCUGCCCUUGUAAGAAAUCCUCAAUCGUGUUAUAUAUUGACCAAUGCCUUCUCCUCAUCUUGAAGCGUAACAAUGCUAGGAGAAAUGGGAUUCCACACAAAGCUCUUAUACCAAUAAACUUGCCUAUAUUUGCAUACAAAAGUAAUGAAUGAGGUCCUUAAUAGAAGGAAUUCCACUAGGAUGAACUUGCACAAGAAAAUCAAUUAGGUGCACAGAGUUGAAGUUAAAUUAAAUAGGUGCACAAGUUAUGGUUACAGAAUAUAGAUUCCUCACAGAGUUGAAGUAUCAACUAACCAACUUGAUCUAAAAAUCACUAAAACUGAGUCACUAACAUAUGUCUUCCAAGCAGGGGCGGAUCUAGAAUUCAAACUUCGGGAGGCACCAAGCAAAUUUUCGAAAAACACAUAUAUAAUUUAAAAUUGUGGGGUCACUUCUAUAAUUUUGGAAAAUUUAGAAUUGUAAAAGAAAAAUUAGGAGGGGCACGUGUUCCCAUGCCUUUUCCUAGAACAGCCCCGGCUUCCAAGCCAAAGUUAGAAACAUGCAGUUAAUAAUCGACAGAAAACAGAGUACUUCAAUAUGCAAAUUUUGUAGAGGUCUGCAACCUAAUUGUUAGGGACUUGCAUCCUUGAAACUUCUUAGUAAGAUUCUGAAUCAUCAAUUUUUUGCGACUCUAGAAGAUAAAUGCAUGAGCCACAGGAGUUGGGAGAGGGAAAACUUACCAGUGAAUUUAAGUAUAAAUGGAAUCCGGUCUGUGGUGGUAACAAAAAAAAAAGAGAGUGAGUUAGAUAAAGGCGUCAAUCAUAUUUCAUCAUGUCCACAACAAAGGCAUAAAUUUGAACUAGUUACACUCUCAGUGAUGCGCUAAGUAAAUUUAUACAUAUGUUUAUUUAUAAACUGGUUUAUAUCAAAUGUAAACCACAAGAAAACUGAAUACACACACUCACCAACAAAAUAUGCAGCAAUGUCUCUCAAGAUUUUGAGCAGGCCUGCAAAAUAUAUGUACAAACACAAUAUCAGUUGCAAAAUCCUUUGAAGCAAGAUUAAAUUACUUUAUAGAUAAGAAGUAGAAGAUCGCUCUCAAAAAUAACAGAGUACUUUCAGUAUCCUGAAUUCUUGGGAGCUUACAAACAAAAUUGGAAAACAAGUGAGUUGGUAUAAACAAAAAUAGGGUCUUUCUAAUAUGUGUUCAUGGUCAUAGACUAACUACUACUUUUUAGUUAGAUAGAAGACUUUGAUAGGCUGAGAUUUUUGUACAUGUAGUGGGCCACCAUUAUUAAUGAGAUGGGAGCCAAUAGAAAUUCACUACUUAACUAAAGAAAAAGGUUGUUAUUAUGUGCCCAUGAACAUACACCAGAAAAUCCGAUAAGAUAAAUGAUAAGAUCUAAGAAUAGAGGAUGGAUCUCAAGAAAAAUGAUAACGGAGGAUAAUUGCUGCUCAUCAUUGGGUGCACACUUACGUUCUGGUAAAGAUAAAGUCGCUGAGAAGGGCUGGCACUUGUAACUGUAAGCAUUGUUUUCAAAAUGACGAACACAAUGAUAGUCGAGGCUACAUGACUUGUAGCAGAAGAUUUUUCCCCACGGAACAUCGAAUCCAUAAGCCAACACCUCACUGCGGAUGUCUUCAUUAUCUGCCUUGCUGAUUAUAGUAAUAUCAUCAGAACUAUAUGUAACAUCGGACCGCCAAUCUAAUGACACCCAAGCUGCAUCGCGUACCUUACAACCCUCUACUACAUCCCCCAAUUUUAGAGGGCCAGCAACAACAUAAGAGUAUUCACUAGGACAGUAAUUUUUGCCAGAAAAAGAUUUUGUGUCAUUAUUACCCCAACUGGAAAAGGCAUCAGAAGUUGUAGCAUCAAUAUACCCAGAUUCUGAAGUUAAAGGAGCAGGGCAAUUCAUAAAUAUUAUCGGCGUGUUAUUCUGAGCUAGCCCAUCGAAAUGUCUAAAAGAAGUUUGAUUUGUAUGACUGAGCCGCAGUGUCAGGUUCUGGUAAUUGAUGCCUGCAACCUGGUACAUGUAUAAGUUAUCAUCGUAAAAAGAAGUCACGUAUAUCAUGGUCCGAUUGUCCUGGCAGUGGAGUUCGCGGCUGAGUAGACCAUGACGACCACAGUUAUGAAGAAGAUCAUCUUUCAAGUAGAAAGGGCAGCUUAUGUUACUGAUAUCACCGCAAGAAGAAGGAUCAUUAUUGCUGCUGCUUGAAAACGUGAAGAAAGUGAACGAUACUAAUAGCAUGAGCUGGAGUGAGAGCAUCUCCAACGCUAAAGAUGAAACUGUUAGCUAAAAACAUCAUCAGCUAAAAAAAAUUUGAGCCUGUAAAGAGUUUUGCUCCAAUGGGUAUUAGCUAAAACCAUUAGCUAUAUUCAAAAUAUUAUUUUAAAUGUUAAUUAUAAAUAUACAAUAAAAUAAUUUAUUUAGUUUUUAUUCUAUAUUAUUGAAAAAAUAAUAAUAUCUUUAAUAGAUAAUGAUCAAUUAUAAUAUUUAACAUUUUUAUAUUAUUAUAUUAUAAUUUUAAAAAAUUUGAUUGAAAAUAAAGUAACAUUUUCACAUAACAAUAUUAUUUGUAAAAAAAAUAAAUAAUACAUCUAUACUUGUAAUAAUAAUAAUAAUACCUUAAAUAUUUCGAUUUAAAUAUUAUAAAAAUGAUUUAGGUAGAAUGUUAUAUGCUUUAAAUAAAAAUAAAAUAAAAUUUAGAAGGGUAAGAAAUAAAGUUAGUGCUAUAGAUUUUAAGCUAAUUAUCUUUUGAUAAAACGGGUUUGAAAGAAUUAAAAUAAGAAGUUAAUUAAUUUUUUAUUUAAUAUAGAUGAAAAUAAAAAAUAUAACUAAUAAAAACAUAUAUACUGAUACUAUUAUAAUAAUAAAAACUUAAAAAAACUAAUUAACAAAAAUUACUUGUAUCAUGUAAAACAUUUACUAAUUUUCUUUGUUAAAAAUUCAUAAUUAACGUUAAAUAACUAUAUAAGUUAUUAUAUUAGUUUUAUUAUAUUAUUUUUAUUAUAUUAUUUAUUUGUUAUAAAUAUUUUUACACUUAACAAUACAUUAGAUUAAAUUAUAAAAUUAAAAAGUUAUACAAAUAUAUAUAAUAGAAUUAUAAUAUUAUAAUACAUAUAUAAUAUAAUAUAGACAUAUAGGUUGGAGCAAGUUUAAAUUUUUUUUGAGUUAAAUUUUAAAAGAAAAUGACGUGGAUAUGAUAUAGAUGACAGACUUUGGUUCAGCAAAUGUAGCGUGCUUAAUUCUCGGCAUCUAAAAAUAUUGCUAACAGACGUCUGCGUUGGAGUGAUGUUUUUUUAAAAUAUUAGGUUUAUGGGCUGACACAUAGACUUUAAAGCUAACAGGCGACUUGCGUUGGAGAUGCUCUGAAUAUGUAGAUUUGUCGAAACCAGCACAAAAAUAUUCAAGGAAACAUGUUCCUGCUCCCAUGAUCCACAGGUCAGCUCAUUCAAAAACACCACCUCAGAUUUCCGAGUUUUUAGUAAAGGAGAAAGAGUAAUGAUAUUAUCCCAAGGCAGAACACAAACUUUCAAUACAUUGAUUUAUAAUUUUUAUUUUUGAAGUAUGUUAAUAUAAAAAUAUACAAUAAUUAUAUAAUUCAUAAAAAGUAAAAAGAAAAAUGUUCAUAAAUUUGCUUUGAAAGUUCAGAGAAACGUCCUGUUCAAACCAUAUUGAUUUCAAAUAAUUUUUGAAUAAUUUUCCUGCUCUUGUCAGAUUUAUAAAUUAGAUUAAAGGUGUUUCCAAAUUUUAUCCCAAAUUCAAGUGGUGUUGUAUGAUUGGUUUUUUCUCACAUGAGAUCCAUGUAAGCACAUCAACCACCUACUUAAAAAUUACUACAUAUCUGCUAUUAGAAAAAGAUUUCGAAACAAAUUUUAGAGUAUGUAGCAUUACCCUUAUAAAUUUACUUUGAAAGUUCACAAAAACACCCUCCUACUAUAGUUAACAUAUUUUUUAAACAAAUUGAUAUAACUUAACUUAAUAUUUAGAUAUUUCAUAAUAAUCCGAUGAUAAAAUCAGAUUGAACUAAGAGCGUGUUCGAUAUUUUUGGCUGAAAAUUUUUAACUAAAUUGUACAUGUAACAUAUUUUGUAAAAUUUGUUGAAAUUGGUACUGGUCAUUGACUUUAUUUUAAAAAUGAUAUUUUAUUGUUAUUUCAAAUUAUUAUAAAUAAAUUAUUUUAAUAUGAUAAUAAGUCGCAGAAAUUUUGUUAUAGGUCUUUAUGUUCAAAUAUUGUUCAACAUUCAUUUGAUUAUAUUCUUAGAUAAGACUAAUGUUGAGCGGACAAAAUUUUACAUAUCAUUUAUAAUUUUUGUUUAUAAUGUGAUUUGUUGAAUUCUAACAAAGGGUUUGGUGAAAUUUGAGAUGCUUAAAGAAAAUUUUAAAAAAUCCUGCUUACGUAACCUUUUCUUUUUUGGAACUUACUUACGUAACCUUUUUACAUGUAUAUUAUAUUUUUUUAUUUUUGCCAAGUUAUGUACUUUCCGGUAUGGAGUAGUAUUGUUUAAACCCCACAAUUCCACAAUUAUUAGGAAGACGACAGUCGACGAAUCAGUGGACGGAGGCAAAAGUUAAACAGGUGGUGGGGACCACUGGACCGGGGGUUUUAAGUUUUAACUCGAUAGUAAAGGUAUUUUGGGUGUACGUAUUUAUUAAAAGUUGAGAACACUCACUUUUGUUUCAUAAUUUUAGCUUUUUUGAAAUACUUUAAUCACUUAUAAGUUAUAAUUUAUUUCUAAUUUUUAAUUCAUUUUUCUAUUUUAAGCAAGAAACACUUAUUUUAAACUUAUUCAAAUGGCCCCUUAUACGUUCAUUGUUUGAGACUCUUAUAAAGAAUAGUUUCUUAAUGUUUUUUUUAAAAAAUUUAUUUUUUCAAUAAAAGUUUAAAUAUCAAAUUUUUAUUCAAGAAAAAAAAUUAAAAAAACAUUAUAAAAUUAUAUUUUAUAAGAACCUUAAAAUACGUGUCAAAAAAUAACGUAUACAAAUGAAUGGGACAUGGAAGUAGUACUCUCACCCUGUUAAACAUUUCUUUACGAAUUUGUUGUGAGUGUCCCAUUGGAUUUUUUCUUUUUUAAAAUUUAUCAAAAAUAGUUAAUGGGUCACUAAUUUCUUAUUAUUAUUUUUUUACAUUAUUUUUACUCCAGUAUUUCCAUUUUAUACAUUAAAAAUUAAUGAAUCACACCACUUCACCUAUUUUUCUUUCUCGUUUCUACUAUUUUAUGCAUAUAUCUUAACCUCUGUGUCCAAAUCAUUUUUAGAUAAAUUGUUGGGACGGAGGAAGUAGUUGACGGGAACAUAAUUAAAAAUUAAAUUUUCGGUGAUAAUUUUUUUUCUCAAUAAUAUACUAAAGUUUGAUUAUAUAUGAUUUACGGAUUAAUUGUAUUUUCUUGUAGAAGUUUAGAUCUUACAAUAUCAUUUUAUAUAUAUUGCAAAAUGGGAAAUGAAAAAAAAUAAAUAUUUUAUCAUCUAUUUAUAAAUAUUUUUUAAUAUUAAUUUAUAUUAUUAAUGAUAAUUUUAAUUUUUUUUCAAUUUUCUAACUAAUUAUAAAUUUAUUUUUAAGUUUUUUAAUUUCUUCAUUUAUAAGAAAAAAUAUAUUUAUGAAUUAGAUGAUGAUUUCCUAUUUGAUUUAGAGUAGUGCAUAUCACAGAGUUAAGAAAAAUGUUUAUUCAAAUGUUUAUAUAUUUCCUCUUAUCUAUGUAUAAUAUUAAACAUAAUAUUCCACUUUAACUUUUAGUUAUUAUAAUAAUAAAUAAAUAUAUAUAAGCUUUCCACAACUAUAUUAUAUGUCGAAACUGGUAUAAAAUUCAAAUGUUAACGCAGUUAAGUAAUUAGAGCAUCUUCACUAGGUGGGUGGCUAAAUCGUAGAUAUUAUCUAAAAUUUGCAGAGUAUCUCCAAUGGAUUAAGUUAUAAUUGUUGAAUAAAUUUGUCGAAUUUAUUGACAAUAUUGUUGGUUAUAAUUUGAAAAUAGUUUGUUAUUAAUAUUUUAUAUUGUUAUAAAUAAAAUAUAUCAAUUUAUAAUAAAUGAGGGGUAAUCUUCGUACAUAUUUUUUUUUAGAGGUCAAUAUACAUCCAUAGGUUCUCUUUUGGCUAUAAUUAUAUGAAAGGGGCUGGGAUGGUACCCGCAAUAAUUAAAAAACAAUUAAAAGAAAUAUUAUGCACGGAUUUUUAAAUAUCAUAAUUAAAUAUGAUCUGGCACAAAAAGAACCCUCUCGCUCUCAAGUCUCAAUGCCAUGUAUUACAUUUUCUAAACCAGUAAUUAAGUUGUAUAAGGUGUCACGUAUCUUCCCGUGGAAAUAUCUCGUCGAAAGUUCCCAGUUGUAAGAGUCAGGUCAAGUGUGGUUAACAGCUCUCCAGAUCAUGUGGAUGUGCAACAAAGUCUUAUGCAGAUAACAGUGGCCUUGUUUGUUUCCGCGGAUUUAUGGUUACACAGGAACCCAAACUUACGUGGAACUAGGUUACCGUGUGUGUCUACUGUGAAACUCAAAGAUAUAGUGUUUGGUUGAUACUUUAUACAGAUCAUGUAACUAUAAAAUUUUGACAAUUUAGAUAAUAUCAGAUUAACACCUUAUAGAUAUAUAUAUAUAAAAUAAAAAUGAUUUGAGUGUACUAUAAACAUAAAAUAAUAUGAAUGUUAGAGUAAUAUAAUAAAUGAGAUUUAUAAAAUAUAAAAAGAUUAUUUGAAUGAGAUGAUAUAUUAAUAUAAUUUAAUAUAAUAUUAGUAAUAUCUAAAUAAAAAUAUAUAAAAUAUAUAAUAAAAUUUAAGUUUCAAAAUUUGAGAUGAAAAAUAAAUAAAAAUAUUAUAAGAUGGAUAAAUUAUUAAUGUAAAACACACAUAUAUAAUAAAAUAUAGUAAAUAUUAUUAAGGAAAAAAAUUAUUUGUAAUAAUUGAUAUAUGUAAUAUGAGUAGAUCCUAAAUAAAAAAUAUUAUAUUAUUAAGUAAAUAAUUUUGAUAUAAUAUAUUUUUUAUAAUUUAAAUUUUGUAAUUUGACCAUGUUAUAUCUAAAUAUGUAAAAUUAUAAUAUUUUAAUAAAAAGUAAUAAAAAGCAAACAACUGUGUAACCGAGAGUAAUCACGUUUCAACUAUGUAACUAGGUUACACCGUUUUACAGGAAGUUUAGGUUAUAUUGUUUAAUUUUAAUAUCAUAUAACCAAACACUGUAGCUGAGACAAGUUUCAUGGAAGUCUGGAUUACUACGCUGGGUUACAGGCUACCAAACGAGGCCAGUGUAUGAAGACUGCAUAAUUUUAAGAACGUGUUCGAAUGCAAUAGCGAGACUAUCCUCAACUCAUGACAUCGAAAUGGUGGAAUUUUAACUUCAUUUUAACAGAAAAAUUAUAUAAAGGAGAAGUGAGGGGCGUGUAGGUGGCGCCUCUCACAUCGCUCCGUUUUAUUUUUCUAAUUUUCUGAAAUUUUCGGAUGAAAAAAUAUCAAAAAUUAGAACUACUUUUUUAGUUUGGAAUAUAUUAGAAGCAAGUUUCAGAAUCUGAUUUUGUUUCAGAUUAUUUAUGGAAUAUAGCAGCUUUGAAAGUUUUUUUUAGAUUAUUUAAAUAUGGGAAAGAGCAGCACACAAGUCUCUCUGCACCUAUAAAUACCCCUAUAGGUUGUAGGGUUUUGGAUAUCUAAACACAACCUACUCUCCCUGAAUACCACAAUUCUACCUCUAUCUGGUGAUAGUUCUCUUGCUCAAUUUCUAACUCGGUGGUGUCGUUCUUCUACAAUGAUAAGUGAAGGCUGUUUAUACGGUAUUAGAAAAAAAAUAAAAGUUGUUGCAAGCAAAGGUAGUUAUAGACCGUUAUGUGCGAGUCGACAAAUCCAAACACGAGAGAAAAAUAUAGUCUUGACAUGAUAUUAAUGGAUGAUAUCAAUAAAUUAACUAUUAGUGAUGUAUGUUUGUUGGUUAUUCUUUUAUUAUAUUUGUUUUGUUCAUCGAACAUGUUUGUUGUUGUUAAUUUUUAUUUAAUUUACUUUGUACACAGGAAAAUAUUAUUCAUGCAUUAUCUGUUUGCUCCGUUCAAGCAACUUUUAAGUGAAGACUGUUUAUACAGUAUUAAAAAAUAAAGGUUGUUACAAGUAAGGGUAAUUAUAGACCGCUAUCUCACGGAUUUAAGUUAGAUGUUUUUGUGCACAAUCAAUCCAAAAAAUUGGAAGAUGGUGAUAAUGUAAGAACAUGAUUUCUUUUCAAAAAUAAAAACAUAAAUAAAAUUAAGAUUCGUCGUGCUUUAAAUUGUUAAUUACGUGUAGAAAUUUAUUUUCAUUUUUUCACCAUGAAUUAUAGUCCAAUUUUGCAAUUUUAUAUAUUAGUAAUGGUAUUACAUCAAGAUUUUUAUAAUAUAAAAUUUUUUUUAUCCUACAAAUAUUAAUUUUAAGUCAUUAAUAUAGUACAGUGUUUGAAUCAAUAGAGAACUUUUUCUUCUGUAUGAAUCGAUAUUAUUCCAUUUCAAUUCCUUCCCGAUACCUCCCAAGGAAAAUCUCGAAUUGGAUCCCAAAUUGACGGGUUAGUGUGAGCUUAUCCAUGCGGUUAUGCACUAGGAAUCCAUUUUUUGAAAGAUCCUGGUUUUCGUGCUUUGGUGGGUCUCCGAGAUCCUUUAGAUGACCUAUGUUGUGUUAUGUUGUGUUGAAGGGAUAUCUAUAGAAUCCGAUCGAUUGCGUGAAGCCCGCUCUAGCAAUGCAACCGGAGAAAGUAUACUGAAAACACAAUUCUUUUCUAUUAUAUUAGUAUUUUUUAAUAUUAUAUUAUAUAAGAUUAGAUUAGUUAGUGAGUGAUAAAGAUUUCCUUUAUUUGAUAAUGCAAUAAGAGCAACUUCAAUGGGGGUGCCAAAAGGAGUGCCAAAGUGCCAUGUGGCAUGACAUGGCAUGGCACUCUUGUUGGCUCUCUAUUGGAGAGGAAGGGGUGCCAAGUAAAGUUGCCAACUUUUGGCACCCUCCUAAAAUGGAAAGAAGUGUGUAUAUCACCCUAAAGCAUAUAGUUCCUUAUCUUUUUAUACUUAUAUUUGUUUUAUUUAAUUUUUCAAAUUAAGUUAUAAAAUGAUCAAUAUAUGGUGAAUAAAUAAUUAAGUUAUAAAUAAUAUAUAUAUAUAUAUAUAUAUAUAUAUAGAGAAAAGUUAUUUGGGAUCCCAUGUUUGAUUGGAGUCCUGGAGUCCUAAUCUGGGCCUUCCAUCCAAACUGCAUCCAACGGCUGUCAUUAAAUUAGUUAAUUUUCAUUAAAAAUAAAGUUAAACAAUCUUUCUUGUAUAUCACGCGCGUCCCCAGGUCUGUACGUGAUCAAGGCAGUUACAACUAAAUCAUUUUUCUAGGAGUACAGUUGUCGGUUUUGUCCUGCAUGCUAUUUAUCAUUUUUUAAUCAUCUUUUCUCAGUAAUGCUCUGAAAUGAAACUGAAGUCAUAUCUAAUCCAAAAAGUCCUGCAUUCUCAACUGACGGCAAUGGUGAAGCAGUGAGAUUUGCCGCUGAAGAUGUAAUGUCAGUAGAUAUUGCAACUAUUUCUCAAGUGGUACCACGAUGAUGGUCCAUCUUAAAUCCUUUUAGACGUCUUCUAUUCUUUCAAAUGCUACUCAGACGUGGGUUUAUCGAAAAUGAGAUUAAUACACAAGCCCCUCAGCUUUAUAAUCAGUGUACAGACAAAUUAGUGUUUAUAACAUCCACAUCUCAAAAAAAAAAAGUAGUAGAAUUAAGAAAAUUAUUAUAAAAUACUAUACAAGAACAAAAGGAUUAAGUAGAAUUAAGUAAAGACUUAUCACUCUCAGCCAUUUGUCGUAUAAUUGAUUACCUUGUAUAAUAUUCAUGUGCAUGUAGUCAAAAUCACUGGAUAAACCUGGAAAUCUGAAUAACACCCUAAACUUGAGUUAACUAGGCCAUGCAUCGUGUCAAAGGACUUAACUUGAUUAUAGUUCAAAAGUAACUUUGCAUAAACACCUUUAAUGCUAGUACUAAUCUACUAUAAGUCUAUAACCCAGUAAGAAAUAAUUCGUUCAAUAUCAGUUAAUUAUAAAAAUUAUCAACCACGAGCCCUACUACGAGACCAUGUCAUUUGUUCAGGGAGUCUAAAAACGCCCUCUAGAAUGCCAGAAAGCAAAUUUAAAACAAAAAUUAAAAAAUUGUAUCCAACAACAAGGACAAGAGAUUUUAUUAGUCAAUAAAUAAAGAUCAAUCACUUCUGAGUCAUAUAUGACAUAUAAUUGAUUGUCUUUCACAAUCUUGAAUUACUGAAGUGAAGUGAAUUUACAUAUCACUCUUACAAAAGAACAUGAUUAAAAUAUCGAAGCACAUAAUGUAGAAGUAAAGUGCUGGAAGAGAAAUUCUUACAGGUGCAAGAUUAAACCUAAAUGGGCAUCCUAACAAAACAAACCCUAUAGACACAGCUAUAUUAAUUCUACUAGGCCAAGUACAAACAAUACUAGCUCUGAGAAAUAGUUGCAAUAUCUACUGACAUUACAUGAUCUGAUCUUAGCCCUUAUGCCAUCACCCUCAACCAGUUGCGCAGCUUUCUUCCCAGAGCUGCCAAAAUUCUCUUGAGGCGUCACAAAUUCGUCCUCCCCCUCAACAGACCUGGUCUCCAUAGCACUACCAGCGUCCUUCUUUCCCAUAGGACUUGCCAAAUUACGCCUUGUUGUCGACACGGCUCUUGGAGUACUCACUAUAACUUGUGCACGUUGCUUUUUCCUAACUACCUUCCCUUCCUCACAAGUAUCCACGUCCUCUUCCAAAUUUAUAAACGUUGGGUUCUUCUUUGGCUAAUUGUACAACUCCGGGCUUUCUAUCAGCCUAAUACUUCUCCUUCUUCCUACAAAAACAAUUUCUUAAAUUCAUUACGCAACAUCAAAGGGAACAAAAUUCAUAAAGUUUAAUUCCCCAUCAACUAGUUAAGUCUGAAGCUAUGUCAUGCAACAAAACAGAGUGUUCUGCAAGCCAACACAUAUAGCAGAACUUUAAGGCCUCUAGCAAAUAAUAAGACAAACAGACAACUCAUAUACGCCCAACCAGAUCAAAAAUGUAUAACACACAUUAUAGUCUACGUGUUCUGCACAAACCGUACUUUAUUCACCCUCUACACUUAUAGCAGUACAAAAAAUAAAAAAAAAUUAUCGCACCAUGUACCCACAAAUACUACACACAUUCUGCAACACUUCAUGAAGUAAUUAAGGCAGAAGGUUUGUCAUGCAUUACAUCAGACUGCUUUGCAACUAGAAACAUAAAGCACAACUUUAAGGUCUCCAGCACAAUUAUGUUCACCACUGUGCAGUACACAUAAUGUCCUCCUCUCAAAUUCGAACACCAUAUACAGGUAGUGUAGGACAAAAAACAAAACAAUAAUGUUACACAGUUUACCCACACACAUUAAACACACUCUAUUAUGCAGAACAAUAGGUAAUGCAGAACAUAAUAGGAAAACAACCAUCUCAUUGAAGAAGUAAAAAAAUUAGCAAAUUCAGCCCAUAGCAGUACAAAUUACCUUAUAUUUCCGACCUACAUAAAAGGGGAAAACCAACUUCCCGUUGUAAAAACCCAUCCCAAACAGCGGAAAACAAAAUAAUUAGACACUAAUUUCAUAUAUACGACACAACACAGCAGAGGAUAGAUACAACAUCCACUGGCACUAGAGGAUAGAUACAACAUCCACGGGCACUGUAGGACAUGCAUUACAGUAGAAGUACAAAAAUCCCUCAAGUAGACAAUAAUUUUAAUAGAGUCCAAUUAGAUCAAUUAGGCGGUUACGUACCUGAACUCAUCGUCGGUCGAUUGUGGGUCUCUCUCCGAUGAACCUUUUCGCCCUUAAGUCUACACAAAUUCAAAAAUCAGCAGAACGGGUUGUUGCGAAUCCUAAAAUGCUUCUAACCGCUAUUUUAGUGGAGUGGUAUGCGGGAUCAAACUCGAGUAGAAUGUGGGAUUAGUCUCCGAGCGCUCAAGACGGGUAUGAUGCAGUACACAUUCACGCGCUCAACAAAAAAAUGUGCGGUUUUUAGUUUUUUAAAAAUUAAUGAAAAAGUGUUUCUCAGCUUUUAAUCUCCACCGCAGGAUGUAAUAUGAUCCAAUGGCUAUGCUUAGGGACUCCAAAUACUCUAUUUUACUAGUACCCCAUAGAACCCACCUCUCUUAUAUAUAUAUAUAUAUNGAAUGUGAUGUACACAAGCGGAUUUAGUGGAGCAUAUUUGGUCAAAAUUUAAAGAUCAUAUUUGACUCUAGUAUUUAUUGAAUUUUAAAAUUAAUUAUAUUAGCAUAAAUUAAUUAAAUGUAUUUUGUUUGGUUUAUAUAAAAAAGACUAUAUUGUACAAUUAUGUGGCAACUUUGGUUGCCAAUCAUUGGAGCAAAUUUUUGUGUAAGAGUUGCUAAAAGUACAAAUAAAAAGAGAGAAGAUAAAAUAAGUAGUACUUUUAAUGAUGUGUCAUUUUAACCAACUUUAGUUAGCAUCCCAUUGGAGAUGCUCUAAAACGGACUGCCCUUUUUCUGGUCCAAAUAAAAGAAAGCUAAGAAAAGUCACCGGCCGCGUCAGACGGAUAAGCCUGUUAAAUAUAUCAAGUAAAUCCCAUGAAGCAAAUGCAGAAAGCAUGGAAAAAAUGAAGUUGCUUAUGGUGGUGGUAGCAGUAGUCAUAUUGUUGACGACAGUUGAAGGUGCAGGGAAGAAGAAGAAUUGCAGUGUGAGUCGGUGCAGCGAUGGAGGCCCGGGAAUUCACUUUCCGUUCUGGCUCAAACAAAAUAACAGCGCUCCUCAUCCUGCAGAUGAUUGUGCCUACUUGCCUGAAUUUCAACUUCUUUGCGGUGGCGAUCCUCGCAGAAGAGGAGAAUAUCAAUCACGCAAGGACUUAACCUUAGUGGAGUAUCAACACACAGUGAACACAUCAAUUCAGGGACUCCAUCUCUCUUUUAAGUACAAGGCAG
rnacentral:lncRNA from 1 species